UGAUGGGCGUCGACCGGCGCACGGGUGAGUAACGCGUAUCCAACCUGCCCACCACUUGGGGAUAACCUUGCGAAAGUAAGACUAAUACCCAAUGAUAUCUCUAGAAGACAUCUGAAGGAGAUUAAAGAUUUAUCGGUGAUGGAUGGGGAUGCGUCUGAUUAGCUUGUUGGCGGGGUAACGGCCCACCAAGGCGACGAUCAGUAGGGGUUCUGAGAGGAAGGUCCCCCACAUUGGAACUGAGACACGGUCCAAACUCCUACGGGAGGCAGCAGUGAGGAAUAUUGGUCAAUGGGCGAGAGCCUGAACCAGCCAAGUAGCGUGCAGGAUGACGGCCCUAUGGGUUGUAAACUGCUUUUAUAAGGGAAUAAAGUGAGUCUCGUGAGACUUUUUGCAUGUACCUUAUGAAUAAGGACCGGCUAAUUCCGUGCCAGCAGCCGCGGUAAUACGGAAGGUCCGGGCGUUAUCCGGAUUUAUUGGGUUUAAAGGGAGCGUAGGCCGGAGAUUAAGCGUGUUGUGAAAUGUAGACGCUCAACGUCUGCACUGCAGCGCGAACUGGUUUCCUUGAGUACGCACAAAGUGGGCGGAAUUCGUGGUGUAGCGGUGAAAUGCUUAGAUAUCACGAAGAACUCCGAUUGCGAAGGCAGCUCACUGGAGCGCAACUGACGCUGAAGCUCGAAAGUGCGGGUAUCGAACAGGAUUAGAUACCCUGGUAGUCCGCACGGUAAACGAUGGAUGCCCGCUGUUGGUCUGAAUAGGUCAGCGGCC
rnacentral:rRNA from 1 species